rnacentral:rRNA from 1 species
GUGACUGCGUACCUUUUGUAUAAUGGGUCAGCGACUUAUAUUCUGUAGCAAGGUUAACCGAAUAGGGGAGCCGGAGGGAAACCGAGUCUUAAUUGGGCGUUAAGUUGCAGGGUAUAGACCCGAAACCCGGUGAUCUAGCCAUGGGCAGGUUGAAGGUUGGGUAACACUAACUGGAGGACCGAACCGACUAAUGUUGAAAAAUUAGCGGAUGACCUGUGGCUGGGGGUGAAAGGCCAAUCAAACCGGGAGAUAGCUGGUUCUCCCCGAAAGCUAUUUAGGUAGCGCCUCGUGAAUUCAUCUCCGGGGGUAGAGCACUGUUUCGGCUAGGGGGCCAUCCCGGCUUACCAACCCGAUGCAAACUGCGAAUACCGGAGAAUGUUAUCACGGGAGACACACGGCGGGUGCUAACGUCCGUCGUGAAGAGGGAAACAACCCAGACCGCCAGCUAAGGUCCCAAAGUCAUGGUUAAGUGGGAAACGAUGUGGGAAGGCCCAGACAGCCAGGAUGUUGGCUUAGAAGCAGCCAUCAUUUAAAGAAAGCGUAAUAGCUCACUGGUCGAGUCGGCCUGCGCGGAAGAUGUAACGGGGCUAAACCAUGCACCGAAGCUGCGGCAGCGACACUAUGUGUUGUUGGGUAGGGGAGCGUUCUGUAAGCCUGUGAAGGUGGCCUGUGAGGGUUGCUGGAGGUAUCAGAAGUGCGAAUGCUGACAUAAGUAACGAUAAAGCGGGUGAAAAGCCCGCUCGCCGGAAGACCAAGGGUUCCUGUCCAACGUUAAUCGGGGCAGG